CGAAUUCACUAUUUUGAGGUAACGAAACUCGGGUGGAAUUUUUUCGCAACGGACGCGUGCAAUCUUUCUAAUUAGACCCUAGAACAUGUUUGGGAGUGUUUCUGAGCAUUCGGUUACAGCACGAAAAACGAUGCAAAACGGGUGCAUUUCGGCAGCCGAAUGCACUAUUUCCGGGUAGCGAAACUCGGGUGGAUUUUUUUGCAACGAACGCAUGCAAUCUUCAUAAUUAUACCCUAGAACAUGUUUGGGAGUGUUUUUGAGCAUUCGGUUCCGGAACGAAAAAUGAAGCAAUACGGGUGCAUUUCGGUACCCGAAUGCAUAUUGCCGGGUAGCGAAACUCGGGUGGAUUUUUUCGCAACGAACACAUGCAAUCUUCCUAAUUAUACCCUAAAACAUGUUUGGGAGUGUUUUUGAGCAUUCGGUUCCGGAACGAAAAAUGAUGCAAAACGGGUGCAUUUCGGCACCCGAAUGCACUAUUGCCGGGUAGCGAAACUCGGGUGGAUUUUUUCGCAACGAACGCAUGCAAUCUUCAUAAUUAUACCCUAGAACAUGUUUGGGAGUGUUUUUGAGCAUUCGGUUCCGGAACGAAAAAUGAAGCAAUACGGGUGCAUUUCGGUACCCGAAUGCAUAUUGCCGGGUAGCGAAACUCGGGUGGAUUUUUUCGCAACGAACGCAUGCAAUCUUCAUAAUUAUACCCUAGAACAUGUUUGGGAGUGUUUUUGAGCAUUCGGUUCCGGAACGAAAAAUGAAGCAAUACGGGUGCAUUUCGGUACCCAAAUGCAUAUUGCCGGGUAGCGAAACUCGGGAGGAUUUUUUCGCAACGAACGCAUGCAAUCUUCCUAAUUAUACCCUAGAACAUCUUGAUAUGAACCCGCUAGGGGCUGAUUCCCGAUCUUUCGACGAGAGAGGCGUGGAUAACUCGAUUGGUGGAUGGAGACGACGUUCACGGCCCGACUACAGCCUUCCAAGCUGCGCCUUAGCAACCGAUACACCACCUCCAAUGGCUGCCGCGAUCUUGUGGAGCGCGUCACCCGGCCACUAGGGCACUCGUCCUGCAAGCAAUCGAAGAACUAGCAAGAACAAGUAUAACAAGCAACUCAAUUGCAAAUAUGGAGAUGGAAACCAAUCUGAACUCACAAAGUUGGGGUUCCGAAUCGAGUAGAACGGAUGGUCUAGUCGACACACGCGUCUACAAGGAAGUAGCAAUGGCUAAACUUACAUCAAAACAAAACCCAAUCUGUUCGUGGUGGCUCUAAUCCUUAUUAAUACCUAGGAGGACGACCAGGGGGGUGUUGGGGUCGUGCUCCAACCCUAGGACACGUUCCUAAUGGACCCAACUUGAUACACGGCCCAUCGGGCCAAAAUAGGGCGACGCAGCACCUGUGGACAGAAAACCUCUCGGUAGUAUUUCGAUGAUUGCGGCCUCCUCAGAAUAGAUAUGGACAUGAGUCCGGAUCCAUAUGAAAAUAGACUUCAUAAGGAUUCCAAGGAGUACUUGAACGCCCAAAACGGAGUCCGGAUGAGGUCGUGGCGGUUGUUGCAAGUUGGGCCAGAACUGUAGUCCGAAUCCAGCACCAAAACGUGUUGGAUUGGAUCUCUUUCUUUCCUUGGGCCAAAAGUGACGUGGUGGCCUGGUGGAGGACGUUAGGAAUACUUGGACUCGGCCCCCAAUCUACUUCUUUGGUCCUCCAUGCCUUCCAUGUGUGUUUAACACUAUUUUUGAUCCAUGUAUGUAUUUCUGAAAUUGACAACGAAUACACAUCAUGGUGCAGCAUCAAUUCAUCAAAUGUAUCACAUAUAAUUAUGAUAAAGAAUUGCUUCACCUCGGAGUCAAAAGAUGCCAAUAUGGUUGUAUCCGAGCAUGUGAUGUCCUCAUCACAUGUUUGGGAGUGUUUUUGAGCAUUCGGUUCCGGAACGAAAAAUGAUGCAAAACGGGUGCAUUUCGGCAUCCGAAUGCACUAUUGCCGGGUAGCGAAACUCGGGUGGAUUUUUUUGCAACGAACGCAUGCAAUCUUCAUAAUUAUACCCUAGAACAUGUUUGGGAGUGUUUUUGAGCAUUCGGUUCCAGAACGAAAAAUGAUGCAAUACGGGUGCAUUUCGGUACCCGAAUGCAUAUUGCCGGGUAGCGAAACUCGGGUGGAUUUUUUCGCAACGAACGCAUGCAAUCUUCAUAAUUAUACCCUAGAACAUGUUUGGGAGUGUUUUUGAGCAUUCGGUUCCGGAACGAAAAAUGAUGCAAAACGGGUGCAUUUCGGCACCCGAUUGCAUAUUGCCGGGUAGCGAAACUCGGGUGGAUUUUUUCGCAACGAACGCAUGCAAUCUUCAUAAUUAUACCCUAGAACAUGUUUGGGAGUGUUUUUGAGCAUUCGGUUCCGGAACAAAAAAUGAUGCAAAACGGGUGCAUUUCGGCACCCGAAUACAUAUUGCCGGGUAGCGAAACUCGGGAGGAUUUUUUCGCAAC
rnacentral:lncRNA from 1 species